GAUGAACGCUGGCGGCGUGCCUAAUACAUGCAAGUCGAGCGAACAGACGAGGAGCUUGCUCCUCUGACGUUAGCGGCGGACGGGUGAGUAACACGUGGAUAACCUACCUAUAAGACUGGGAUAACUUCGGGAAACCGGAGCUAAUACCGGAUAAUAUAUUGAACCGCAUGGUUCAAUAGUGAAAGACGGUUUUGCUGUCACUUAUAGAUGGAUCCGCGCCGCAUUAGCUAGUUGGUAAGGUAACGGCUUACCAAGGCAACGAUGCGUAGCCGACCUGAGAGGGUGAUCGCCCACAGGGACACUGAGACCGGCACCAGCCCCCUGGGGGGGGAGCCGAGGGGAAAUCUUCCGCAAGGGGCGAAAGCCGGACGGAGCACCCCCGGGUGAGUGAUGAAGUUCUUGGGUACUAAAAACUUUUUUAUUGGGAAAAAAAAAAUUUAUAAUAACCUCUGCCCGUCUUAAGGUCACCUAAUAAAAAGACCACGCCAAACUACGUC
rnacentral:rRNA from 1 species